rnacentral:rRNA from 1 species
GUGGGGAAUCUUGCGCAAUGGGCGAAAGCCUGACGCAGCCAUGCCGCGUGAAUGAUGAAGGUCUUAGGAUUGUAAAAUUCUUUCACCGGGGACGAUAAUGACGGUACCCGGAGAAGAAGCUCCGGCUAACUUCGUGCCAGCAGCCGCGGUAAUACGAAGGGGGCUAGCGUUGCUCGGAAUUACUGGGCGUAAAGGGCGCGUAGGCGGACAGCUUAGUCAGAGGUGAAAGCCCAGGGCUCAACCUUGGAAUUGCCUUUGAUACUGGCUGUCUUGAGUUUGGGAGAGGUGAGUGGAACUCCGAGUGUAGAGGUGAAAUUCGUAGAUAUUCGGAAGAACACCAGUGGCGAAGGCGACUUACUGGACUGUAACUGACGCUGAGGCGCGAAAGUGUGGGGAGCAAACAGGAUUAGAAACCCUGGUAGUCC